UUGCGCUGCUGAGCGGCGGGCUGAACGAGACACGGGUGCCGGCGCUGAUUGGCUGUGCUGUGCACGGGGUCACUCGCCGGUCUCGAAGCAAAGCCCGAAGAGCCAAGUUCGGCACUUCCGUACGUCCAGCAAUGCCGAGCCCACGAGUUGAGGUGGGGAAGAUGCUUAUGAGUCAAGGUGACUGUGAAGAGUGAAUUGCCCCACCCGAUCCGACUCACGGCAUCCGACCGCAGCCCAUUGCCCUGAGUUCGGCAGAGACGGAAAGACGGAGCAAUUGGCAGCCACAAAACAAAGAAACUCCAAAGGACCUUUUAAAGAAAGAUCAUCAAACACGCAGUGCUCAGAGAGAAAAAGAAAUCAUGCAGACAAUAAUGCCAGCAGCUUCCAUGGAGCAUUGGCCAUUGAUGACCUCCUGUUUCCAUCGUCUAAAGUCAAUGGUUGUUAGCAAUUUCAGCUGAAGAUGCAUUAUGUACUCCGAGAAACUAAAGAAGAUAUGAUUUCUCAAAAUUUCGAAUUAUAUAACGUUUAUUCCCGAGUGUCUGACAUGCCCUAUUUUUAAAGGAUGUUUGAAGGACCUCAAGCUGCGGAAAAAAUACCACCAACACAGUUUCUGAGAAAUCCUAUAAAUUCUCUGGACUGGUUCUUUUGAAGACCCUGACCCGGAGUUACACACUGACUUUGGUUCUUCACAGAAAUGGUAUCUUCUCUCAGGACCUCAUGACUGGCUGCUUUUUAAUAUGCCAAGGAUAUAGCCUGGAAGACUAGUGCACCUUCAGGGUGUUGGAUUUUCGUGGCUCUGGAGACGGGUUGAUUCAAGGCCAGUGUUGCUGCUUGAUGUGUCAUGGGAGUACACAGAAGAUUGAAAGCAGCAAGCUGGCUGCUGGCUGUGUGCACAGGGACAUAGAGUUCUUUGGGCACAGAAGUUGGAAAAAGUGGCACAACAGAUUUUUAACGAAACAACUUGCUGAUUUAUGGUGUUAUGUCUACCCACUCGCUGUGAAAUAGAAAUACCUCUUUUUCUCUUAUUAGGGAGAGAGAGAGAGCAUGUGGUAUGUCAAAUACUGGGUGAACGAGUAGUCUUUGGUGUACUGCAAGUCUGUGUCAUUACUGAUGCUUUGCUACACGCUCGAGUGCUGAUGCUUUUUUGCUGGUGGGGGGGUCAUUGCUUUGCUGCUGUUUGUGUGUGGGGGGUGUUGGGGAGGGUGCUUUGGGGUGCUAAAAUUUAACUAUCAUUCAUUCUUUGGGGCACUCUGUUUUUGUGAAUGUUUGCGAAGAAAUUUCAGGAGUAUAUUGUAUACAUUUCUCUGACAUUAAAUGGACCUAUUGAAACCCAUUGAAACCUAUUGAAAACAAAGUGAGGCAGCAUUGCUGACAAUCCUGUUCUGAUCAGAUGUAAUGAAUUGAUUUGUAUAGACAAUAUAUAAAACAAGUACUUUACUGUACUGUAUCCACAUAACAAAAAUAAACCAAUU